rnacentral:lncRNA from 1 species
UUUCUUAAAUGAUAUAAUAUUUAUGAUUAUGAUUUGAGUUAAUGUUAUGCUUGAAACUAAUUGACUUGCCGAGUUUUGUUGAUAAUGACUUGUGUGUUACCCUCUACUGAUGAAACGAAUUCGGUCCUGCCACAAACGGGAUUUUGUGCACAGAGGUGACUGUGAGCCGUCUAUCGGGUCGGCCGGUCACGGUACUUGAGAGGGAGGCC